rnacentral:rRNA from 1 species
AUUGAACGCUGGCGGCAGGCUUAACACAUGCAAGUCGAGCGGAGCGAGGGUGCUUGCACCUUAGCUUAGCGGCGGACGGGUGAGUAAAGCUUAGGAAUCUGCCUAUUAGUGGGGGACAACAUUCCGAAAGGAAUGCUAAUACCGCAUACGCCCUACGGGGGAAAGCAGGGGAUCUUCGGACCUUGCGCUAAUAGAUGAGCCUAAGCCGGAUUAGCUAGUUGGUGGGGUAAAGGCCUACCAAGGCGACGAUCUGUAGCGGGUCUGAGAGGAUGAUCCGCCACACUGGGACUGAGACACGGCCCAGACUCCUACGGGAGGCAGCAGUGGGGAAUAUUGGACAAUGGGCGGAAGCCUGAUCCAGCCAUGCCGCGUGUGUGAAGAAGGCCUUUUGGUUGUAAAGCACUUUAAGCGAGGAGGAGGCUACCUGGAUUAAUACUCUAGGAUAGUGGACGUUACUCGCAGAAUAAGCACCGGCUAACUCUGUGCCAGCAGCCGCCGCAGUAA